UUACGGCCAUAUUACGUUGAAACAGCUGUUCCCGUACGAUCAUCAAUGUUAAGCAACGUCGAGCUUGGUUAGUACUAGAUGUGUUAUCACUUGGGAUUACCUGGGGCUGUAA